GUAAUAUUUGUUUUCAAACAUGUAUGCUUAUUUUAUUUUUUCUUAUUAAAUACUAGAUCUGUUACAUUUUGUACAUGCUUCAUAAGUUAAGAUUAUGUUUCCCUGAAAUUAUAUAUAUAUAUAUGCAUGUAUCAUCUUGAAGUCAAAGAUGUCUUUAUUUUUUUAGAUUGUAUUACUGUUGUCUGGUUCAUUAUUAUUAAAGCAAAUUUUGGUAUUGUCUGCAAAGAUUAUCUUAAAGUGAAACAGAGAUGUUAACAUAAUAAUGACAGCCAUUUAUUAACACACAAGGGGGGAGGGGAAGUCCCGGAAGAGUUAACAAUCCAAUUUGUGGAAAUUGGUGUGACCUGAAUCGUAGCAUUUCCAAACGUUUAAACAUCAUGAACAUAGGAGUAAUUUGUAGUUCUAUGUCAGCAAACACAGUAAAAGAAAGAGCUACUGUUCUGCAGCUAGCAUUAGUUAUCAGCUGGUGCAAGCAGUUUAAUAGACCAUGCUUAAAUAACUAAAAACUUGCCUAGCUUUAACAGUCAUUGAUUAUAAUGUAAAACAAGUUACCAUUCUCCUUUAAAUCUUUCUCUUUUGUCUGAAUAUACUUUGUGAUAAAGAUUGUUAUACAAUUUUGUUGUACAAACAGUUUGUUUACAAUAUUUGGGAGAAAGUUAUGACAAAAAAAUCUUGAUAGACAAUUCCUAAUUGGAAUUUUAUCAUAUAAGCAUCUCUAAACUAAAUCUUAAUUCAUUACUUCAUAAUAUUGCUUUAAUAUUUAUUGAUGAACACAUGCAUUAAUUGUUAUUUAAUCCACAUUUAUACUUGCAAAGUUUGAUAUUAUGAAGAUCCUGUAAUUGUCAUGUCCUUCAAUAAAUCUGUACUUCCAUUCACACCAUAAACAUUCUGAAACUAAGAAUGUGACUGUCUGACAGGUACACUCACAAAUAGUAAGAGGAUACAUGUUUACUUCUAAAUCUUUUAACAAUUGUAUAAAGAUGUUAUUUUGAAUAUCUACCUUGAUGUUACAAAUGAUGGCAGACUCUGGAAUCAUAUUGUUCCAUCUUAGUAAUAAAGACUCAUUGUAAGCACUAUAUACAUGAAAUCAUUUGUUCUUUAAAAGUCACACUUCUUAAAAUUGACACUGUUAGUACAUAUAAGUGUAAUUAACAUGACUUGUGCCAUGAAUAUUACAGAAAGUAGUCAGUUGUUUUGAACUUGUGAUAGAAACUUGUUUUGUUUAGAGUAUUGUACUUUAAAUAUUUAUAUGUGUUUUGACUAUUAAGCUUUAAAUGUGAUGGUGUAUGUAUGUUUUAUUUGAAAUUUGUAUUUUAAUUCAAUGCUUGUACUGCCUUUUCCCAGGUGCAGGAUUUUGCACACUGUUUCCUGAGGCUCUUGUAUAAAAAAACGUUUUUAAGUUUGUGGUUUGGCUUGUUUAGCAAGAAGCACUUAAAAGUUCAUUAAGUCAAAGACAAUAAGAUUUGGUAUGGAGUUCUAAUAGCAUUGGCACCUCUCUUUUCCUUGGAGAUUUUUGCCCGUUCGCUCAAUUAUGGCCAAUGGCUUUGAAACUUCUGUUUACAGUUGAACUUGAUUCAUUUAUUUUUAUGGGUAUCAAUUUUGGGGGUUUAGGUAAAAAUUGUAUUCUUAUGGAUAUUGGAUUUAGUUUGCAAUCAGUCUUUAUAAAAAUUUGAUUACUUGAACAGUUUAAAUUCUUGGUUAACUUAUAACCAUGAACUCCCCAAAAGAGGAUUUCCCACAGAUCCACAGUAGUUUACAUGUUUAAGUUAGUGGUAAGGUAAGUCGACAGUUACUACUAAUGGUAACUCAGUGACAUUUUUUAAUUCAUUUGUAUAUUAAGUAUUAGCAUGUAUCUCAUUUCAAUGUCCUUCAUAUGGCCCUGUCCUUUCAGUCAUUGUUUAAUGACUUUUAAAGUUUUGCAUAGUUCACAAGUUUAGAUAACUGUAUUUUUAUUUCGACUUUGAAUUGUACCCUCUGAAAAGCGGGAGAUUUUGACUCCUGCCGGAAAGAAUCACAUGUAUGCCCUCAAAUGCAGGCAAGACAUAUCCCUUUGUGUUAAUGGUUUUGAAAACAUAAUCACUGCCUUCAUUUAGAAGACAAAAAAUUUUUUUUGAACGAUAGAGUAUUAAAUUGUCAUUUUAAACAUUAAGCAUGGUAACUCUUUUCAAAUACCAACUGCAAACUUAGGAUGAGGGCAAUGAAUUUCGUGCUAUUAUUGAUUUUUACCCUAAAAGAACUGGAACAAGGAAAUCACAAGAUAUUAGUAAUUCUAAUUUAGAUAAAUGAAUAGCAGAUUUAAAUAGAUAAAAGUCAUGUAGAAUUAGAUAAAAUAUUAUUUUUAGUAAUUCACCAAAUAAUGGCUGUGAUUAUAUUAUUAGAUUUUAAAUUAGAUUAUUAGACAUUGUUAUUUAACACCAAUGCAACUUACUAUGCUGUAUUACUUAAUCUUUUGAUAACAUAUUAGUUUUUGGAAAGGUCUUUUUUACUAUUAAUGUAUACACAAAUAUUUUGAAUUGUUUAUAUAUAAGUUGUUCUUCCAUGAUGUUGUUAAAUUCUACUUAUGACAAACUUGUUUACUACUACAGCAAAUGUUUAAUGUUUGGGUUCACUUUUAAUUUUUUCAUGUACCAAUUUUUUUUAUUGAUUUGUUUUACUUUGUGUAAUCCAUCAGCGCUAAGACUUAGCAA
rnacentral:lncRNA from 1 species